ensembl:snRNA U1 U1 spliceosomal RNA
AUACUUACUUGUCAGGGGAGAUACCAUGAUCACGAAGGUGGUUUUCCCAGCAUGAGGCUGCUCCAUUGCACUCCGGAUGUGCUGACCCUUGUGAUCCCCCCCCCCCGCCCAGAAAAAGA